UGGGGAAUUUUGGACAAUGGGGGGAACCCUGAUCCAGCAACGCCGCGUGAAUGAAGAAGGCCUUCGGGUUGUAAAGUUCUUUUGUCGCAGAGCAAAAGGUAGGUGCUAAUAUCACCUGCUGAUGAGAGUAUGCGAAGAAUAAGCACCGGCUAACUACGUGCCAGCAGCCGCGGUAAUACGUAGGGUGCGAGCGUUAAUCGGAAUUACUGGGCGUAAAGGGUGCGCAGGCGGAUGUUUAAGUUAGAAGUGAAAUCCCCGGGCUUAACCUGGGAAUUGCUUUUAAGACUGGGCAUCUAGAGUUUGUCAGAGGGGGGUGGAAUUCCAAGUGUAGCAGUGAAAUGCGUAGAGAUUUGGAGGAACACCAAUGGCGAAGGCAGCCCCCUGGGAUAAAACUGACGCUCAUGCACGAAAGCGUGGGUAGCAAACA
rnacentral:rRNA from 2 species